UUCUAAAAAUGCUUCAGAAUCUAGCUGGAAACUUUUCGUAAAUAAAGAGUAUGAAGGAAAAACAUCAUCUAAAAUACUUCUAAAUUUUAGCCACAGUCACAAAGUUAGACUAGAGUGAACUUCAGGGCCUAUAAAAGUUGCCAUCUUACUUUGCCUACAUGCUCCAAAGUCAAUCUUACACAGCUCAUUUUAUUUAAUUUCAUGGCAACACAAAUUUAUAUAAUGAAAAUCUGAGCCCAGUAUCGUCUCCCUGGUGAAAUUUUAUCUUGCAGCUUUAAUUUUCAUCUGACAAACAUCACUUCUAGGUGUGGUUCUUAACUCCAGGGGGAUAAAGAGUGCAUGAAUCAACCCAUACACAGAACUUUCCAAAGGUUCAUCCUGGGGACAGUCUGAUGGUCAGUGCCACCUCUACCAUCCCAUGACCACCCUCAUAUCAGUGGAAGACAUGCAUCUCCUGCUCAGCUAAGCGCCUGCCAAUGCACAUUCUUGUACCAGCUCCGAAGGGCAGGACAGCAUAGGGGUGAAUGGGACCUAGAGGCUUAUGUCUCAACCAGCGUUCAGGCACAAAUUCCUUAGCCCUUGGGAAGUAUGCUUCAUCCCAUCCUGUCAACAUGUUGAUGCCAAACACAGCCCACUGUACCGUCCCCAUCACAAGUCAUGAAAGUAAGACAACAAUGCAACCAUAAAUUUCUGUUUUUCACUCUCUUGAAUACUUGUAUAUACGAGUACAUGACUGAUUCUAAGUCAAAUUAAUUACAUAACUAUCCUAUACAGUGUUCUGUAAAACCACGAGUGACAAUGAUGUUCCUCUUCAAUAUUUUAACAAGUUUAUAAUCUUAUUGAAAAAAAAUAAAACAUGAAUGAGAAAA